UUUAUAGUCAUUUUCUAUUUGGUUUCCAUGAGUCUCCAGAGCUUUAAUUACUCCUUCAAGUUCUCCUGCCUUUUUAGACCAUUCCUCGGAGCUCUCCUUGUACAAUUCCACUAGCUUGUUUAACGUUGCAAUUUCACCGGACAUUUGGUCCUCUUUUGCAGCUGCUACAUCCUUCGCGGAUAAUAAAUCUUGCUCUAGAGAAGUGAACUUCAACUCCAUUUCCCUCACUUGUUCCUGUUUUCUCUUCAAACACCUAUCACAUUCACUAAUUUUUUUCUCGGCAUCAACAAGUUUGGCAGACAUAUCAGCCUCAAGCUCAGAAUGAGCUUUACGCAGCUCCAUGAGACCAUUGACCUUUGUUGUUAACUCGUCAUUAAGCCAUGCAUUAUGCCUCUCAACAAGCUCCUUCUCCUGCAAAAGCCGCGAACAAGAAGCCUGACAGCGUGACACUUCAGUCUCCAAGUCACAGACCCGUACUUCCCUAUUUGCAGCAAUAUCAGUCAAGUGAACAAUCUUAUCAAGAUAGCUUUUGAUAGUGGAAUUUUUCUCACUAAUCUCCAAGUCUUUCUGUUCUACCAAUUCCAUCAAUUGCCUCUUUGUUUUCCGGAG
rnacentral:misc_RNA from 1 species